UUUGAAGUUGAUGGGUAUAAAUACUCGUGGUUCCAAACCAUCCGUUUGUUUCUUUCAUUCUGUGUUGGCAAGCAGCAAUCAUUACACUACAUUACACCACACUUUGACACUUGACACUACUUGAUUCUACAUCGAGGAUUUGCUCCAGCUUAGCGAUGCCAAGUAAGGCUGAGGCUGGUGCAUUAGGCUGUGAUACUGGUUGGUGCCACAAAGUGCCAAUUUCUACAUACAUGGUACAUGGUCAUUCCUGCUGAGUGUCCAGACAAGAAGUUUGUUGUUCUUGUAGGGGCCUCUCAUCUGCACUCCAUCACAGAUCAGAUCAUGACGUGGGUCGCUUUUCUUUUGGUUUCAUAUCGACUUCGGGGGCCUGUGCUGACCAGCUGAGGACUGAGGUGGUGCAUGCUGCUCUUUCUCGGAUCCCUGACGUGUGCAUGAUGGCCCCCAGCAACAAAUUGAUGGCCAGCAGGACAGUUGAUGAGGCGGUCGCAGCAUUUGGCCAGUACCUGGCCACUGUCUGCAGUCACUGGCCUAACAUAAAUCUUAAAGCUUAUGUUUUUCUUAAUCAGAU